rnacentral:rRNA from 1 species
ACCAGACUCCUACGGGAGGCAGCAGUGGGGAAUAUUGCACAAUGGGGGGAACCCUGAUGCAGCGACGCCGCGUGAGUGAAGAAGUAUUUCGGUAUGUAAAGCUCUCUCAGCAGGGAAGAUAAUGACGGUACCUGACUAAGAAGCCCCGGCUAACUACGUGCCAGCAGCCGCGGUAAUACGUAGGGGGCAAGCGUUAUCCGGAUUUACUGGGUGUAAAGGGUGCGUAGGUGGCAGGGCAAGUCAGAUGUGAAAGCCCGGGGCCCAACCCCGGUACUGCAUUUGAAACUGUCCGGCUGGAGUGCAGGAGAGGUAAGCGGAAUUCCUAGUGUAGCGGUGAAAUGCGUAGAUAUUAGGAGGAACACCAGUGGCGAAGGCGGCUUACUGGACUGUAACUGACGUUGAGGCUCGAAAGCGUGGGGAGCAAACAGGAUUAGAUACCCCAGUA